GAUGAACGCUAGCUACAGGCUUAACACAUGCAAGUCGAGGGGCAGCACAGUGUAGCAAUACACGGGUGGCGACCGGCGCACGGGUGCGUAACGCGUAUCCAACCUUCCCGAUACUCUUGGAUAGCCUUCCGAAAGGGAGAUUAAUACAAGAUGGUGUUUCAAUUCCGCAUGUUAUUGAAACUAAAGAUUUAUCGGUAUCGGAUGGGGAUGCGUGACAUUAGGUGGUUGGUGAGGUAACGGCCCACCAUGCCCACGAUGUCUAGGGGUUCUGAGAGGAAGGUCCCCCACACUGGAACUGAGACACGGCCCAAACUCCUACGGGAGGCAGCAGUGGGGAAUAUUGCACAAUGGGGGAAACCCUGAUGCAGCGACGCCGCGUGAGUGAAGAAGUAUUUCGGUAUGUAAAGUUCUAUCAGCAGGGAAGAUAAUGACGGUACCUGACUAAGAAGCACCGGCUAAAUACGUG
rnacentral:rRNA from 1 species